rnacentral:rRNA from 1 species
UACGUAGGUGGCAAGCGUUGUCCGGAUUUACUGGGCGUAAAGAGCGCGCAGGCGGUCGUUCAAGUCGCGUGUGAAAGCCCCCGGCUCAACUGGGGAGGGUCACGCGAUACUGAUCGACUCGAAGGCAGGAGAGGGAAGUGGAAUUCCCGGUGUAGUGGUGAAAUGCGUAGAUAUCUGGAGGAACACCGGUGGCGAAGGCGGCAUCCUGGACCAACACUGACGCUGAGUGAGCGAAAGCCAGGGGAGCAAACGGG